rnacentral:rRNA from 1 species
AGUGAACGCUGGCGGUAGGCCUAACACAUGCAAGUCGAACGGCAGCACAGGAGAGCUUGCUCUCUGGGUGGCGAGUGGCGGACGUGUGAGGAAUACAUCGGAAUCUACUUUUUCGUGGGGGAUAACGUAGGGAAACUUACGCUAAUACCGCCUACGACCUACGGGUGAAAGCAGGGGAUCUUCGGACCUUGCGCGAUUGAAUGAGCCGAUGUCGGAUUAGCUAGUUGGCGGGGUAAAGGCCCACCAAGGCGACGAUCCGUAGCUGGUCUGAGAGGAUGAUCAGCCACACUGGAACUGAGACACGGUCCAGACUCCUACGGGAGGCAGCAGUGGGGAAUAUUGGACAAUGGGCGCAAGCCUGAUCCAGCCAUACCGCGUGGGUGAAGAAGGCCUUCGGGUUGUAAAGCCCUUUUGUUGGGAAAGAAAUCCAGCUGGUUAAUACCCGAUUGGGACGACGGUACCCAAAGAAUAAGCACCGGCUAACUUCGUGCCAGCAGCCGCCGUAA